rnacentral:rRNA from 1 species
GACGAACGCUGGCGGCGUGCUUAACACAUGCAAGUCGAACGGAAAGGCCCUGCUUUUGUGGGGUGCUCGAGUGGCGAACGGGGGAGUAACACGUGAGUAACAUGCCCUUGACUUUGGGAUAACUUCAGGAAACUGGGGCUAAUACCGGAUAGGAGCUCCUGCAGCAUGGUGGGGGUUGGAAAGUUUCGGCGGUUGGGGAUGGACUCGCGGCUUAUCAGCUUGAUGGUGGGGUAGUGGCUUACCAAGGCUUUGACGGGUAGCCGGCCUGAGAGGGUGACCGGCCACAAUGGGACUGAGAUACGGCCCAGACGCGUACGUGCGGCAGCAGUCGGGAAUAUUGCACAAUGGGCGGAAGCCUGAUGCAGCAACGCCGCGUGCGUGAUGACGGCCUUCGGGGUGUAAACCGCUUUCGCCUGUGACGAAGCGUGAGUGACGGUAAUGGGUAAAGAAGCACCGGCUAACUACGUG